UUGAUUCAGUUUUCAUCUAAUUCAGGAGACUAUUCGUCUCCAGUACACAUUUCAUAAUCAAUACCAUCGAUAUUUUCCUCUAACAUUUUCACUAUAAAACAGUACCAAACAAAUAUAUCAGCAUCCGAUCCCGACUCAAUUUUGACUCAAUUAUGGCAUGUACCUCUAGACUCAAUUCCGAGCUCGAUUUAGUCCGAGAAUCGGCUAAACCUGAAUAGCUCUGAUACCACUAAUUUGUAACGUCCCUUAACCCUAUACCGUCACCAGAACAGGGUUACAAGACAUUACCAGUCAGUACAGUCCAA
rnacentral:lncRNA from 1 species